GCGGAAGUAGCUCAGUGGUAGAGCAUCACCUUGCCAAGGUGGGGGUCGCGAGUUCGAAUCUCGUCUUCCGCU
rnacentral:tRNA from 1 species